UUUCUCAGGCAGUGAGUUGGACAGCCCUAGCCUUGGGUGGGAGGAGAGCAAGAUGGCAGCCUCCUUGUGGCUGAGCUGCCGCAGCAAAGGGAUGGUCAAACUACUCUUGGGUGGGAGACUAGUCGCGGGGGCUUGUGCUUCUCUCCGCGUUGGAGGCGGCUGGAGGCUUCUGCACAGGAGCCACGAGCUGCUGGGUAGUCCUGCUGUUAAAAUACUCAUGCCUGCACUGUCUCCUACGAUGGAGGAAGGAAAUAUUGUGAAAUGGUUAAAAAAGGAAGGUGAAACUGUAAAUGCAGGAGAUGCAUUAUGUGAAAUCGAAACAGACAAAGCAGUGGUAACCAUGGAGUCAAGUGAUGAUGGCAUAUUGGCUAAAAUAAUGAUGGAAGAAGGAAGUAAAAAUGUGCGUCUGGGAACGCUAAUUGGUUUGCUGGUAGAAGAAGGACAGGACUGGAAGCAGGUUGAAAUACCAGCAGAUACUGGCGAUCCAUCUUCUCUGGCACCCCUGAUGGCUCCGCCUGCAGCUGCACCUACUCCCCCUCCAGCAGGCAUUUUAACAUUAGCCUCCACCAAAAUGGAACAUGGGCUUGGAAAACUGCCGAUUCGCUUAAGUCCGGCUGCCCGCUACAUUCUGGAGACACAUGGACUUGACCCAAGCAAUAUUACUCCCACUGGGCCUCGAGGAAUCCUCACUAAAGAGGAUGCACUCAAUCUUCUGCAGCAGAAACAGAAGAGCAAAGCUGCGGAAUCAGGACCUAUGGUUUCUCCAGCUCCUACUCAGCCUACUGUAGUGCCUUUGGCUCCACAAGCAACAACUGUGUCCUCUGUUUAUCCACGGCCUGCAGUUCCACCAAUUUCUAUACCAGGUCAGCCUGCAGCACAGGGUACAUUCACAGAAGUCCCUGCCAGCAACAUCCGAAGAGUUAUUGCUAAGAGAUUAACAGAAUCUAAAACUACUGUGCCUCAUGCAUAUGCUACUACUGACUGUGACCUUGAUGCUGUCUUGAAACUAAGGAAAGAACUAGCGAAAGAUGACAUUAAAGUAUCAGUAAAUGACUUUAUUAUCAAGGCAACAGCAGUUACCCUCAAACAAAUGCCAGAUGUGAAUGUGACCUGGGAUGGAGAGGGCCCCAGGCAGCUGCAAUCCAUCGACAUCUCUAUUGCUGUGGCAACAGACCGAGGUCUCAUUACACCAGUCAUAAAAGAUGCUGCUGCCAAGGGAGUACAGGAAAUUUCUGCAUCUGCAAAGGCUCUCGCAAAGAAAGCAAGAGAUGGAAAACUGUUACCUGAAGAAUACCAAGGAGGAUCUUUUAGAGAUUGCAAUUUUCUUGACUGUUGGCAGGAAGAAAGAAAAAUUAGGACAGGAAGACCAAUAAUUCUGCACUGAAAUAAAGGAGAAAAGCACUAGACCUGUUAUCAAUUUUUAGAUGUACAUGUCAGACUUACGCUGCCUCCAACUCUGGAGUUAGAUGAGCUGAAAAGGAGCAGGUGGUUGACGUUAAUAAUGAUGGCGUAAGUGCACAGCUGCAAAAAAAAAAUUAACUUUCAAGGACUGGAUUGCUUCCAGAUCCCAGUUCAUGUGGCUGUUAUAUGCAGCGCCUGUUUAGUCCCCAAAGUGCAUUUGUUCUGCUUAAAUGAAAACUGCACUUGUUUCCACACCACUGGCAAAGACCAGUGUAUCACAUAGCCAUGAACAAAUAUAGCCUGUCUUCACUCUUGGCUUGAAAGUAUAUAGGCAGCCACAUGCCUGUAUUCCAUGUUGUACAGCAUAUCCUGAUGAGAGGGGCAUGUUUUUUUUGUUCAUCUUUUCAUUAUCACUGUCCUAUCUAAUUGCACACAUUGGGCUAGUGAUCACGAUUUUUGUCAUGCAUGGCAGGUCUGCUUUGUGAGAUUCUAGGGACACAGAUGACGGGCGGAGGGGAAAGGGGCAGGAGGGCUGAUCUGUUUCAGAUUUCUUAUACCUAUGUAAAAUUCAUUGCUAUUGUGUUCACUCCUUACUGAUCCCUCCAGACUUCUAAUGGACAUGCUAUACUGUGUCACGGGUUCUCAAAGUAUCUGCUGCAAGGCUGAGAACUUUCCUUGUCACUUUCUCUGUCCAGAAAGAUAAAAUAACCUCUGACUUUCUGUUUCUAUAAAUCUCUAGGUUCUUUGGAAAACUCAUUUUAUUUUGUGCUUUUCACACUGAUUUUCAGCUGAUGCUUCCCAUCAUUUGACAAUGAACUUGGCUGUCAUACCAGAUAAGAAACCAUCAUUCUGCUCACAAAGCAUCCUUCAGCUUUGGGCUUCAUGGGCACCUGUGAGCAUAAGAAGGUCCAGACCUGCUCCGUUUCUUUAAUAUAAUCUCUGUAUCUUAGUGUUUAUACCAUGCCUGUCACUGUGCUGUCUCUCCCCCACCUCACUUCUUCACAGAAUAGUUUUCAGUGGGCAUGACUGACUGAUUGACCUGAGCUGAAAAGUCCAAGAGCAGUUUGUCUGGUAUUUUGGUUUGGCCCAUUGUAGAGUUAAGGGCCAGGAGCAAAAUUCAGAUCUGGACACAUCUCUAAGUGACUGAUAUCAGAUCAGAAAUGAAGAUUUGUGUGUUCUGUCCUACUGACAAGGGGUAACAUUUUCAGUGGCACCUAGGUGAGUCAGAAGCCCAAAAGUCUUAUUGAAAGUCAAUGAGAGUGAGGCCUCGUCUCCUAUUUUUAUUAGAUCAGUCCAGCUACAUCACUCAGGACUGUGAAAAUUUCACACCCUGUGUGAUGUAGUUAAGUUGACCUAACUCUGGUAUUCAUGUGGCUAGGUCAAUGGAGGAUUUCUGCUGUUGACCAAGCUACCACCUCUUGGAGAGAUGAAUUAACUACACUGAUAGAAAAAAACAUUCCAUCGGUGUAGGAAGCAUCUACACUACUGUCUUAAAUAUAAAGGAAAGGGUAAACACCUUUAAAAUCCCUCCUGGCCAGAGGAAAAACCCUUUCACCUCUCUCUGCUUGUGUGAUGCUUUUGCUGGGAACAGAACAGGAAUGGAGUCUUAGAACUUAGUAAGUAAUCUAGUUAGAUAUGCUUUAGAUUCUGUUUUCUUUAAAUGGCUGAUAAAAUAAGCUGUGCUGAAUGGAACGUAUAUUCCUGUUUUCGUGUCUUUUUUUAACUUAAGGUUUUGCCUAGAGGGAUUCUCUAUGUUUUGAAUCUGAUUACCCUGUAAGGUAUUGACCAUCCUGAUUUUACAGAGGUGAUUUUUAAAUUUUUUUCUUCAAUUCAAAUUCUUCUUUUAAGAACCUGAUUGCUUUUUCCUUGUUCUUAAGAUCCAAGGGUUUGGGUCUGUGUUCACCUAUGCAAAUUGGUGAGGAUUUUUAUCAAGCCUUCUCCAGGAAAGGGGGUGUAGGGUUUGGGGAGGAUUUUGCAGGGAAAGCCAUUUCCAAGCGGGCUCUUUCCCUGUUAUAUAUUUGUUAGACGCUUGGUGGUGGCAGCAAUAAAGUCCAAGGGCAAAAGGUAAAAUAGUUUGUACCUUGGGGAAGUUUUACCUAAGCUGGUAAGAAUAAGCUUAGGGGGGUUUUCAUGCAGAUCCCCACAUCUGUACCCUAGAGUUCAGAGUGGGGAAGAAACCUUGACAACUACGGUGCUACAGUGGCACAGCUUUAGUAUAGACGUAACCUAUGUCACUUUUGAAAAUGGGACUUAGGUUCCUAAGUCAUUUGGGCACUUUUGAAAAUUUUGUCAUAGGAGCCCUGGAUCAAUACACUAAAGCUCAGUAUUAAGAUAAUGAACCAGGAGCAUUAGUCACUACAUUUAUCUUGCCUGAUGGUCUGCAUUGAUGUGAUUAAAUACACCCAGAGAGUCCUGGCCCAGAAUAAACUAUGCCUUGUACAGCAGCUGAAUGGAUUCUUUGAAGGCUGUCUCUGCUAUGAUUGUUUCAAAGUCCUGGUUUGGAUCUGAACUGGAAUUGUUCCAAGACAUUACCAUAAAUUGAGCUUGACUCUUUUACAGAGAAGCUUUUUUUUCACACAACAAAUGGGUUAUUAUAACCCUGAUUGCAUUUUGCACAUCACAAUGUAUUGAAACUAUAUUGAACUUACACUGUAUUUUGCUCACUAGUGUCCCCUUGCGAUAAAGGAGAGAUAGGACUCAUGUAUAAUAAAUGGGCACAGCUGGGCACAAACAGAUCCUCUCUGGCUUGCAAGGUACCAGCAUAUUUACAUAUCUUGUGCAGCACAAUGUUACUUCACAGGAUCUGUCUAAAUCCUGGCCCAGACUUUACUGUGAUGGAAUGGCUUGCUGACUACACUGCCCACUGGAAAGACACUUCCAGGAGAUUUAAGUUCAAUAGUAGGAGGUAGCAACAUAGCUUUAGCUGGAACUCUUUCUCAAUAUUUGAGAUUUUCGGCUCACCAUCCCUGUCCAGUUCCCUUGUACAAUUACCAUCUCUGUGAGAGCGGAGCUGAAACAAGAGCAAUUGAUUGGAAAUAGGCAGUGGGACCUGCCUGAACCUGUGUCCAGUGCUGGAUCAGAACCUAACAGGUUUUGUUUGUACAUUGUUGCAGAAGCCAUACCAGGGAGUGAGAAAAUACAGGCAGUGCCUCCCCUGGACAGGUCACUUCUCAGCAGUCUGUGGAACUGGAGGGGGUUUGGAACUCUAGGACUGACAAGUCCAAACUAGCCUUUUGGAACCAAUUGAAGUCUUGCAGUGCUGACUCCAGAGUUUUAUUCUGUUUGUUCACUGUGGCAUGAUUGAGAUAGCACUGGGAAGUGAUUAGCAAGAAAACACCCUGGUUGACAAACAUUCUGCUGAACACACUCUCUUUUCCUGGGGUCAGCCCUGAGAGGGCAUUAUUUACCCAUGUGCCUUAGAUGUCGAUAUACACUUAGUUAGAAUGUACUGUAUAUGCUUAUCCUGACCAUUCUACCUCACUGGCAGUUUGCAGAGUAGCAUUGGGUUAAUGGUAUUUACAGUAGCAGCAGCUUGGAAAGCCCACCUGGUGAUGAGCCAGCUAACUAAUUAAACUCCAUGCUGGGAAAAAUAUGAAGGACCUUAAUUAGUGCUCACAAAAUUGGAAGGCAGCCAGUCAGAAAAAUUUCAUUACUGAAGAUACAAGGUAAACCUCAUCAAAAUGGCAUUGUUUACUCACAUUGCUUGUCUUACUCUUACCCUUUCUCUCCUCCCUGUCUCUCUACCAUUCCUUCUUCUCUUGAUCUUUCCCAUUCUUUUCUCUCUAUUUCCUCUCCUUCUGUCUCAUUUCUUUUCUCUUUCUUUUUUUCUGCUAAAGCCAUUUUUAAGGCCUGGUCUACCCUACAAACUUAGGUCAACGAAAGCCGCAUUAAGUUGGUCUAAUAAUGUAGGUGUCUCCACUACCAAGUCCCUUCCGCCAACCUAAGUGGCCUGUAAAGUCGACUUCUGUACUCCAUCUCGGACAGGCAUAGUGCUUGAUUUGACAACCACGGGUUGACAUGGGGAUAGUGUAGACACUGCGUUGUGUAAUUCGAAUGAAUUGGCCUCCAGGAGGUAUCUCUGCUGUGACUGCUCUGGAGAGCACUUUCAGCUCCACUGCAUGUCAGCCAGGUAGACAGGAAAAAGCAGCUCCCCUAUUAAAGCUCUGGGAACUUCUGAAUUUUCAUUUCCUGUUUGAUCAGCGUGGAGAGCUCGCCAGCACAGCUAAUCAUGGAGACUCAAUGCCACAAAGAUCCUUCAGCAUGGAGUACACAGGAGGUGGUGGAUCUUAUUGCUGUGUGGGGAGAAGAGUCUUUGCAGGCAGAGCUCCAAUCCAGCAGAAGAAAUGCUGAAAUCUAUGCCAAGCUUGCACGGGGCAUGGGGGAGAAGGGCUACACCAGGGACACGCAGCAGUGCCGCAUGAAAAUAAAGGAGCUUCAGCAAGUGUACCGGAAGACAAGGGAGGCGAACAGUCACUCUGGUUCUGCCCACAGACAUGCUGCUUCUAUGAGAAGUUGCUUGCGGUUCUCGGCAGCAACUCCAUCACGCUCUGUGGACACCUUCGAGGAACCCUGGGUGACCUCUAGCAACAAUGAGGAGGACAUUGUUGAUGAGGGAGAGGAGAAGGAGGAGAAUGAGAGGCAGGCAAGCGGAGGAUCCAUUUUCCCCGACAGCCAAGAACUGUGUUUAACCCUGGAGCCCGUCCCUUCACAGGACCAGUUGGUGGCAGAGCGUGAGGCCGGGGAAGGCACCUCUGCCGAAACCUUGUCCAUUGGCAUAUCCUCCACACCGGGACAGAGACUUUCCCAGAUUAGAAGGCGGAAAAAGAAGACUCAGGAGGACAUGUUCAAUGAGUUAAUGUGCACCACCAAGAGUGACAAGACGGAGCUCAGAGCAUGGAGGAAUACACUGUCCGAGGACAUGGACAGGGAGAACAGGAGAGUAUGCAGGGAACAAGAGCAUGUCACGCAGGAAGAGAUGCUGUGGAUUAUGAAGGAGCAAUCAGACAUGUUGAGGUGUCUGGUUGAGGAUUAAGAAAGGCAGCUGGAUGCUAGAGUCCCUCUGCAGCCUAUGCUGAACCUGCUGCCAUCAUCGCCCAGUUCUACAUUCUCCUCACCCAAACGUCCUAUGAGGCAUGGGAGGGGGGGAGUUCGGUAGCCCUUGGACUCAACACCAGGGGAGGGUACAAGGACCAGAAAGUGCCCAUUCCCGCACCUUUGAUUGGUACUGCAGUGCAUCUGUAAGCAAGCUUUCCUUGUUUCUCUCCCACAGUGUUAUCAGCCCAGGUUAUCUUACUUUUCUUUG